AUCGCUUCUCGGCCUUUUGGCUAAGAUCAAGUGUAGUAUCUGUUCAUAUCGGUUUAAUAUCUGGUACGUUCUCCGUCCGGGGACAUUAUAUUAAAUGGGUUUUGGAAGCGGGGAGGUGGGAUAGGGGCUUGCUCCGUCCACUCCGAGCAUCGGCCCGGCAGUGCUGCACCGCCUCGGGGAUCCCUGU